GACGAACGCUGGCGGCGUGCUUAACACAUGCAAGUCGAACGGAAAGGCCCUGCUUUUGUGGGGUGCUCGAGUGGCGAACGGGUGAGUAACACGUGAGUAACCUGCCCUUGACUUUGGGAUAACUUCAGGAAACUGGGGCUAAUACCGGAUAGGAGCUCCUGCUGCAUGGUGGGGGUUGGAAAGUUUCGGCGGUUGGGGAUGGACUCGCGGCUUAUCAGCUUGUUGGUGGGGUAGUGGCUUACCAAGGCUUUGACGGGUAGCCGGCCUGAGAGGGUGACCGGCCACAUGGGGACUGAGAUACGGCCCAGACUCCUACGGGAGGCAGCAGUGGGGAAUAUUGCACAAUGGCGGAAGCCUGAUGCAGCAACGCCGCGUGCGGGAUGACGGCCUUCGGGUUGUAAACCGCUUUCGCCUGUGACGAAGCGUGAGUGACGGUAAUGGGUAAAGAAGCACCGGCUAACUACGUG
rnacentral:rRNA from 1 species